rnacentral:lncRNA from 1 species
GGCGGCUUCCCUGUGCCAAAAUAGUCCACGGGCACAGCCGCGCCCAAAAAUGAGCGCCCGAAGGUCGGGGCGCCAACAGCCCCCAGCGGAAAAAUGGCCAAGAAACGGGUGUGCUAUAGCCUUGGCGGGGGGCGUGGGCGAAGUUCGUCCGCCGGACUCGGAAUGGCCCUAGACUUUGCGGGCGGCCUCCGUGUGCCAAAAAUAGGCCACGGGCACAGCCGCGCCCAAAAAUGAGCGCCCGAAGGUCGCGGCGCCAACACCCCCCAGCGGAAAAAUGGCCAAGAAACGGGUGUGCUAUAGCCUUGGUGGGGGGCGUGGGCGAAGUUCGUCCGCCGGACUCGGAAUGGCCCCAGACUUUGCGGGCGGCCUCCGUGUGCCAAAAAUAGGCCACGGGCACAGCCGCGCCCAAAAAUAAGCGCCCGAAGGUCCGGGCGCCAACACCCCCCAGCGGAAAAAUGGCCAAAAAACGGGUGGGCUAUAUAGCCUUGGCGGGGGGCGUGGGCGAAGUUCGUCCGCCGGACUCGAAAUGGCCCGUGACUUUGCGGGCGGCCUCCGUGUGCCAAAAAUAGGCCACGGGCACAGCCGCGCCCAAAAAUGAGCGCCCGAAGGUCGGGGCACCAACACUCGCCAGCGGAAAAAUGGCCAAAAAACGGGUGGGCUAUAGCAAGGUGGGGGGCGUGGGCGAUGUUCGUCCGCCGGCCUCGGAA